rnacentral:rRNA from 1 species
CCUACGGGAGGCAGCAGUGAGGAAUAUUGGUCAAUGGCCGGAAGGCUGAACCAGCCAAGCCGCGUGAGGGAGGAAGGCGCAGAGCGUCGCAGACCUCUUUUGCCGGGGGACAAAAGGCCUGACUCGUCCGGUCCUGAGUGUACCCGGAGAAAAAGCAUCGGCUAACUCCGUGCCAGCAGCCGCGGUAAUACGGAGGAUGCGAGCGUUAUCCGGAAUGAUUGGGCGUAAAGGGUGCGUAGGCGGCCUGCUAAGUCUGGAGUGAAAGGUACCGGCUCAACGGGUACAGGCUCUGGGAACUGGCGGGAUAGAGGGCAGGGGAGGGCGGUGGAACUCCAUGGGUAGCGGUAAAAUGCGGAGAUAAAUGGAAGGAAACCAGUGGCGAAGGCGGCCGACUGGCCUGUUGACUGACGCUGAGGCACGAAAGCGUGGGGAGCAAAUAGGAUUAGAUACCCGGGUAGUC